AUUGAACGUUGGCGGCAGGCUUAACACAUGCAAGUCGAGCGGUAACAGAGAGAAGCUUGCUUCUCUGCUGACGAGCGGCGGACGGGUGAGUAAUGCCUAGGAAUCUGCCUAGUAGUGGGGGAUAACUUGCCGAAAGGUAAGCUAAUACCGCAUACGUCCUACGGGAGAAAGGAGGGGACCUUCGGGCCUUUCGCUAUUAGAUGAGCCUAGGUCGGAUUAGUUAGUUGGUGAGGUAAUGGCUCACCAAGACCGCGAUCCGUAACUGGUCUGAGAGGAUGAGCAGUCACACUGGAACUGAGACACGGUCCAGACUCCUACGGGAGGCAGCAGUGGGGAAUAUUGGACAAUGGGGGGAACCCUGAUCCAGCCAUGCCGCGUGUGUGAAGAAGGUCUUAGGAUUGUAAAGCACUUUAAGUUGGGAGGAAGAGCAGUUAACUAAUAUUUGACUGUUUUGACGUUACCGACAGAAUAAGCACCGGCUAACUUCGUGCCAGCCGCCGCGGUAA
rnacentral:rRNA from 1 species